rfam:Xenopus laevis strain J chromosome 2L, whole genome shotgun sequence.
GCCUAUGGCCACACUACCCUGAAAGCGCCUGCUCUCGUCUGAUAUCUGAAGCGAUACAGGGUCGGGCCUGGGUAGUACCUGGAUAUGAGACAGCCUGAGAAGUUUUCAAUGCUUCAUUUU